UACGAAGGGGACUAGCGUUGUUCGGAAUCACUGGGCGUAAAGCGCACGUAGGCGGAUAUGUCAGUCAGGGGUGAAAUCCCGGGGCUCAACCUCGGAACUGCCUUUGAUACAGCAUAUCUUGAGUCCGAUAGAGGUGGGUGGAAUUCCUAGUGUAGAGGUGAAAUUCGUAGAUAUUAGGAAGAACACCGGUGGCGAAGGCGGCCACCUGGACGGAUACUGACGCUGAGACGCGAAAGCGUGGGGAGCAAACAGG
rnacentral:rRNA from 1 species